rnacentral:rRNA from 1 species
GACGAACGCUGGCGGCGUGCCUAAUACAUGCAAGUCGAACGCAGUGGGGACGGGUGAGUAACACGUGGGUAACCUCCCAUCAGAGGGGAUAACACUUGGCAACAGGUGCAAAACCGAUACUGAUGGAUGGACCCGCGGUGCAUUAGCUAGUUGGUGAGGUAACGGCUCACCAAGGCAACGAUGCAUAGCCGGCCUGAGAGGAUGAUCGGCCACACUGGAACGUAGACACGGCCCAGACUCCUACGGGAGGCAGCAGUGGGGAAUCUGCGGCAAUGGACGAAAGUCUGACCGAGCAACGCCGCGUGAGUGAAGAAGGUUUUCGGGUCGUAAAGCUCUGUUGUUAGGGAGGCGGUAUCUAACCAAAAAGCAACGGCUAACUACGUGCCAGCAGCCGCGGUAAUUC